rnacentral:rRNA from 1 species
AUUGAACGCUAGCGGGAUGCCUUACACAUGCAAGUCGAACGGAGUGGCGAACGGGUGAGUAAUUUAUCGGAACGUGCCCAGUAGCGGGGGAUAACUACGCGCAAGCGUAGCUAAUACCGACUACUAUUGGAGCGGCCGAUAAGGGGUUGGCUAGUUGUUGGGGUAAAGGCUCACCAAGGCGACGAUCCGUAGCUGGUUUGGGAGGACGACCAGCCACACUGGGACGGAGAAACGGCCCAGACUCCUACGGGAGGCAGCAGUGGGGAAUUUUUGACAAUAGGGGAAACCCUGCUUCACGCAUGCCGAGUGUGCGAUGAAGGCCUUCGGGUUGUAAAGCACUUUUGGCAGGAAAGCGGUACCUGCAGAAGAAGCACCGGCUAACUACGUGCCAGCAGCCGCGGUAAUAC